AGUGAACGCUGGCGGUAGGCCUAACACAUGCAAGUCGAACGGCAGCACAGUAAGAGCUUGCUCUUACGGGUGGCGAGUGGCGGACGGGUGAGGAAUACAUCGGAAUCUACUUUUUCGUGGGGGAUAACGUAGGGAAACUUACGCUAAUACCGCAUACGACCUACGGGUGAAAGCAGGGGAUCUUCGGACCUUGCGCGAUUGAAUGAGCCGAUGUCGGAUUAGCUAGUUGGCGGGGUAAAGGCCCACCAAGGCGACGAUCCGUAGCUGGUCUGAGAGGAUGAUCAGCCACACUGGAACUGAGACACGGUCCAGACUCCUACGGGAGGCAGCAGUGGGGAAUAUUGGACAAUGGGCGCAAGCCUGAUCCAGCCAUACCGCGUGGGUGAAGAAGGCCUUCGGGUUGUAAAGCCCUUUUGUUGGGAAGAAAAGCAGCAGGUUAAUACCCCGCUGUUCUGACGGUACCCAAAGAAUAAGCACCGGCUAACUUCGUG
rnacentral:rRNA from 1 species